rnacentral:rRNA from 1 species
UACGGGGGGGGGCAAGCGUUGUUCGGAAUUACUGGGCGUAAAGGGCUCGUAGGUGGCCAACUAAGUCAGACGUGAAAUCCCUCGGCUUAACCGGGGAACUGCGUCUGAUACUGGAUGGCUUGAGUUCGGGAGAGGGAUGCGGAAUUCCAGGUGUAGCGGUGAAAUGCGUAGAUAUCUAGAGGAACACCGGUGGCGAAGGCGGCAUCCUGGACCGACACUGACACUGAGGAGCGAAAGCCAGGGGAGCAAACCGGG